rnacentral:rRNA from 1 species
GUUGUAGCAAUACAGCAGUGGCAGACGGGUGAGUAACACGUGGGAACCUUCCUAGGGGUACGGAACAACUCAGGGAAACUUGAGCUAAUACCGUAUACGUCCGUGAGGAGAAAGUUUUAACGCCCCUAGACGGGCCCGCGUAGGAUUAGGUAGUUGGUGAGGUAACGGCUCACCAAGCCUACGAUCCUUAGCUGAUCUGAGAGGAUGAUCAGUCACACGGGAACUGAGACACGGUCCCGACUCCUACGGGGGGCAGCAGUGAGGAAUAUUGCACAAUGGACGCAAGUCUGAUGCAGCAACGCCGCGUGGAGGAUGACGGCCCUUGGGUUGUAAACUCCUUUUUUCAGGGAAGAGUGAGGACGGUACCUGAAGAAUAAGUCACGGCUAACUACGUGCCAGCAGCCGCGGUAAUACGUAGGUGGCGAGCGUUAUCCGGAAUUACUGGGCGUAAAGCGCACGCAGGCGGCUCUUUAAGUUUGACGUGAAAGCUCCCGGCUUAACUGGGAGAGGUCGUUGAAGACUGGAGGGCUUGAGGCAAUGAGAGGGGUGUAGAAUUCCCGGUGUAGUGGUGGAAUGCGUAGAUAUCGGGGGGAAUACCAGUGGCGAAAGCGGCACCCUAGCAUUAGCCUGACGCUCAUGUGCGAAAGCGUGGGGAGCGAACGGGAUUAGA